CCUACGGGAGGCAGCAGUGAGGAAUAUUGGUCAAUGGCCGGAAGUCUGAACCAGCCAUGCCGCGUGCAGGCAGACGGCUCUAUGAGUUGUAAACUUCUUUUGUCCAAGGGUAAACCUGAAUACGUGUAUUCAGCUGAGAGUACUCUACGAAAAAGGAUCGGCUAACUCCGUGCCAGCAACCGCGGUAAUACGGAGGAUCCAAGCGUUAUCCGGAUUUAUUGGGUUUAAAGGGUGCGUAGGCGGAUUGAUAAGUUAGAGGGGAAAUGUCCGAGCUUAACUCGGGAACUGCCGCUAAUACUGCGGAUCUAGAGAGUAGAUGCGGUAGGCGGAAUGUAUGGUGUAGCGGUGAAAUGCUUAGAGAUCAUACAGAACACCGAUUGCGAAGGCAGCUUACCAAUCUAUAUCUGACGUUGAGGCACGAAAGCGUGGGGAGCAAACAGGAUUAGAUACCCUGGUAGUC
rnacentral:rRNA from 1 species